CAGCAGCCGCCGCGGUAAUACGGAGGGUGCAAGCGUUAAUCGGAAUUACUGGGCGUAAAGCGCACGCAGGCGGUCUGACAAGUCAGAUGUGAAAUCCCCGGGCUUAACCUGGGAACUGCAUUUGAAACUGUCAGGCUGGAGUCUUGUAGAGGGGGGUGGAAUUCCAGGUGUAGCGGUGAAAUGCGUAGAGAUCUGGAGGAAUACCGGUGGCGAAGGCGGCCCCCUGGACAAAGACUGACGCUCAGGUGCGAAAGCGUGGGGAGCAAACAGGAUUAGAUACCCGAGUAGUCCCUGUCUCUUAUAA
rnacentral:rRNA from 1 species